ACAUACGGCCUUACCUGCCAGAAAACACGGGAUCCCGUCCGCUCUCCCCUAGUUAAACUCACAAGGGCCAUAUCAGCAGCUGGGUCGGUGGCCAACGAAUCCCUGAUGUUGGUUUGUU
rnacentral:rRNA from 1 species